ACUCAAAGGAAUUGACGGGGGCCCGCACAAGCGGUGGAGCAUGUGGUUCAAUUCGACGCAACGCGAAGAACCUUACCUGGGCUCGAACGGCUCCUUAACGAUCGUAGAAAUACGGUUACCCCGCAAGGGGGUGGAGUCGAGGUGCUGCAUGGCUGUCGUCAGCUCGUGUCGUGAGAUGUUGGGUUAAGUCCCGCAACGAGCGCAACCCUCGCCCUUAGUUGCCAUCCCGCAAGGGGGCACUCUAGGGGGACUGCCACGGAUAACGUGGAGGAAGGUGGGGAUGACGUCAAGUCCUCAUGGCCUUUAUGUCCAGGGCUACACACGUGCUACAAUGGUCGGUACAAUCCGUCGCCAACUCGCGAGAGGGAGCCAAUCGGAAAAAGCCGACCUCAGUUCGGAUUGCAGUCUGCAACUCGGCUGCAUGAAGCUGGAAUCGCUAGUAAUGGCAGAUCAGCAUGCUGCCGUGAAUACGUUCCCGGGCCUUGUACACACCGCCCGU
rnacentral:rRNA from 1 species